UGACCAGACUCCUACGGGAGGCAGCAGUGGGGAAUAUUGGGCAAUGGGCGCAAGCCUGACCCAGCAACGCCGCGUGAAGGAAGAAGGCUUUCGGGUUGUAAACUUCUUUUCUGAGGGACGAAGAAAGUGACGGUACCUCAGGAAUAAGCCACGGCUAACUACGUGCCAGCAGCCGCGGUAAUACGUAGGUGGCAAGCGUUAUCCGGAUUUAUUGGGUGUAAAGGGCGUGUAGGCGGGAAAGCAAGUCAGAUGUGAAAACUCAGGGCUCAACCCUGAGCCUGCAUUUGAAACUGUUUUUCUUGAGUACUGGAGAGGCAGACGGAAUUCCUAGUGUAGCGGUGAAAUGCGUAGAUAUUAGGAGGAACACCAGUGGCGAAGGCGGCCUGCUGGACGGUGUACUGACGCUGAGGCUCGAAAGCGUGGGGAGCAAACAGGAUUAGAUACCCGCGUACC
rnacentral:rRNA from 1 species